GGGGCCAUAGCUCAGCUGGGAGAGCGCUACAAUGGCAUUGUAGAGGUCAACGGUUCGAUCCCGUUUGGCUCCACCA
rnacentral:tRNA from 9 species